GUAAUAAUUUUAUAGGUUUUUCUCACUGUCUAGACUGCGCCUCAAUUUCCAAAGAAGACAGGGGCCUCUGCGCAAGCUUCCUAAGACUCAGUGAACAUGAUCCGAGGACUGCAGGUUGAUUUAUAAAGGUUCCAGGGGCUCUUUAGAAAAAUACCACUGCCGAAGCGGUACGGGGCGAGAUCGGCCAUUAGAUCUUGAUCCGACGGUCUGGAUUACAUGGUGGCUAAACCGAAUAGGUGAGCGACCCAAACCGCACGAUCACUAUCCUAUGGCUACGAUGAAAACAAAGUCAUAAACUCCCAUAGUCGUUGAUCUGCCCACCCGUACACGAUCAUCCCCUGAGCAAAGCGCCACCUAGAUCUAAUCUCGAACGCCCAUAGCUCAUCCAACGGUUGGUGCCGCUUCUUCUUCCAUCGCCCAUAUCAACCGGUGGUAGGUCCCCACUGCGGCGGCGCCCUCAACGGCGAACCCCACCCCGGAGUUCGAGCAACCCUCCCCCCCCCCCCCCGCGAGCAACACCUAAACGUAGCUGAUAGCAAUGGGAUUCCACAGGAGGGUAACUCACCGGUAAUCGGCGCCCGGAGACGUUUGCCCGUGGCUCACGACGGAAUCGUGACACAGGGCGGUCGACGACGAGAAAUUAGACACCGUCCCUCCCUCGGUCUUGCCUAUGAGUGCAUCCACCGCAAGCACGAGCUCAGGCGGAACACACGGCUCCCACAUAGACGGCGCGGCAGCGCUGGCUGCAAGUGAACGUGAGUGCAGGCAGUCGACGAGGACGACACGGCUUUGCUUGUUUUAUGCGGAGGCCGAGAGCUAGCAACGGAUUCCCGGGUCUUGUGGCGGCGUGCGGCCAUUGCGGAGUUUGGGGCCACGCGGGCGAGAUCUGCGGGGAAGAAACGCCCUGACACGCGGGCCCAACGCGUCAGCGACAACAGCAAACGUGAUGGGCGAGCGGCUGACAUCACGACCCUACAUGGCAGUGUAAGGAGUUUGCAAGUUCGAGCAGGAGUCCCUGCCCAAUUGGGCCCAUGCGUCGGCGAUAGACUCCACGCACCGGUGCGCGUACUGAACGGUGGGGCCCGCGGGCAGAGAGUAAUGGGGGAAUUGCGAGUGUUUGGGCCGUGCGGAGGGGAAGUGGUGAAUGGGCCGGACGAGCGUAGGGGAAAGUAAAUGAAGAUGGGCCGAAUAGGCCGAACACAGCCCAAGCGCAUGUUUUCCCUAUUUUCUAUUUCCUUUUCUUCUCCUUUUUAUUUUUAAAUUUAAAAUUUGAAUUCAAAUUCUUGUAGUGAAUUUUUGUACCCAGUUUUAGAUGUAUGAUUUGAACAUGGCAUUAUGGAAUGAGUUUAUU